rnacentral:tRNA from 1 species
GGCGGCGUAGCCAAGUGGUAAGGCAGAGGUCUGCAAAACCUCCAGCAUCGGUUCGAUUCCGAUCGCCGCCUCCA